UACGUAGGGGCCGAGCGUUGUCCGGAGUUACUGGGCGUAAAGCGCGCGUAGGCGGCUUUGCAAGUCGGGUGUGAAAUCCCCAGGCUUAACCUGGGAACUGCAUUCGAGACUGCAUUGCUAGAGUAUGGGAGAGGGAAGUGGAAUUUCCGGUGUAGCGGUGAAAUGCGUAGAUAUCGGAAGGAACAUCAGUGGCGAAAGCGACUUCCUGGACCAAUACUGACGCUCAUGUGCGAAAGCGUGGGGAGCAAACAGG
rnacentral:rRNA from 1 species